rnacentral:lncRNA from 1 species
GUCAGAGGGCGGGGGGCGGGGAGGGCAAUAGCACCCCAGAACUGGCAGAUCCCAGGUCUGGUGUUGCGGGCUCAGAGUCAGAAGCUGCCCCUUCCCUUCAGGAGCGACGGUCUUGGAGGCAAGGACUUCUUCAUACCUGGACACCGUGUCCCCAUCCCUUUCACAGCGAGCAGGCAAGGCAUGUCUUUGCCAGCAAAAGAGAUGGAUUUUUCUCUCAGGGGAGUAGGGGAGCUUGGCUGGAAACCAGAGACUGUGCUUGCUCUCAGCAGUUGAAUUCACUAACAAGCCAGAAGUGAGUUAACCCCAACCUGCCAGGUGCAGAGCAAAACCUGGAGGCCCAACUCCCAGGCCAAGCCAGGUACUGCUCAGCUGGGAGUCCCUUCCAGGGUUGGCUGGCACCUGCAAAGAAUCCAGAAAGCUUAAGCCAAAACCCAGGAGAAUAUCUGAAGAGUUGAGGAAAGGUAGAUUGUUGACUUGAAAGUUACUUGAUUUUUCCCCAACACAAAAA